AUUGAACGCUGGCGGCAUGCCUUACACAUGCAAGUCGAACGGCAGCACGGGAGUAAUCCUGGUGGCGAGUGGCGAACGGGUGAGUAAUAUAUCGGAACGUGCCCAGUCGUGGGGGAUAACGCAGCGAAAGCUGUGCUAAUACCGCAUACGAUCUACGGAUGAAAGCGGGGGAUCGCAAGACCUCGCGCGAUUGGAGCGGCCGAGAUCAGAUUAGCUAGUUGGUGGGGUAAAGGCCCACAAAGGCGACGAUCUGUAGCUGGUCUGAGAGGACGACCAGCCACACUGGAACUGAGACACGGUCCAGACUCCUACGGGAGGCAGCAGUGGGGAAUUUUGGAAAAUGGGCGCAAGCCUGAUCCAACAAUGCCGCGUGCAGGAUGAAGGCCUUCGGGUUGUAAACUGCUUUUGUACGGAACGAAACGGCCCUUUCUAAUACAGGGGGCUAAUGACGGUACCGUAAGAGUAAGCACCGGCUAACUACGUGCCAGCCGCCGCCGUAA
rnacentral:rRNA from 1 species